rnacentral:rRNA from 1 species
GGGGGGGGGGGGGGGGGGGCGGGGGGGGGGCGGGGGGGGCGGGGGGGGCGUUGGGGGUGCGCGGGGCGCGCACGGGGGAGGGACUCGUGGGUCGCCGGCCCUUCACUCGGGGGUAACCGCGGGCCACGGCUGCUAGUCCCGGCUCAGCGGCUCCUGGCGCCUGGGGGGGGGUGCAAACUCUGGGUGGUGAAGGAUGGACUCGCUUCCUACCCGCGUGUUGGUGGGGUGAUGGCGUACCAAGGCGUCGACGGGUAGCCGGCCUGAGAGGGCGACCGGCCACAGUGGGACUGAGGUACGGGCCAAACUGCUACGGGAGGCCGCAGUGGGGAAUAGUGCACAAUGGGCGGAAGCGUGAUGCAGCAACGCCGCGUGCGGGAUGACGGGCUUCGGGUUGUAAACCGAUUCCAGCAGGGAAGAAGCGCAAGUGACGGUACUUGCAGAAGAAGCACCGGCUAACUACGUG